rnacentral:rRNA from 1 species
AUUGAACGCUGGCGGCAGGCCUAACACAUGCAAGUCGAACGAGUGGCGGAGGGGUGAGUAAUGUCUGAGAAACUGCCUGAUGGAGGGGGAUAACUGCUGGAAACGGUAGAUAAUACCGCAUACCAUCGGAUGUGCCCAGAUUGGAUUAGCUAGGAGGUGGGGUAAAGGCUCACCUAGGCGACGCUCCCUAGCUGGUCUGAGAGGAUGACCCGCCACACUGGAACUGAGACACGGUCCAGACUCCUACGGGAGGCAGCAGUGGGGAAUUUUGGACAAUGGGCGAAAGCCUGAUGCAGCCAUGCCGCGUGUGUGAAGAAGGCCUUCGGGUUGUAAAGUACUUUCGGCAGGGAAGCGGUACCCGCAGAAGAAGCACCGGCUAACUCCGUGCCAGCAGCCGCGGUAAUAC